AACAUAUGAUUGAGGGAAUUGGAGUCUUGCCUGGAAGAGAACGGAUUACUGCUAUACGAGUUCAAUCAUAUGUGCAGUCUGGAUUAGUAGUGAAGAGGAGUUGUGUACCUGUAUAGUUCUCGCGGGAUGCCGAUGGAGGAGAGACAAGCUUUUGCAACCCUGGACAGCUUGAAGGGGAGUAUCUGUCUUUCGACAGCUUGCUGUUAUGUUUAUUUUAAAUAUCCCUUGUAUUGCCAUAAACAUAAAGAAGGAUAGGGGACAGGAUAAUAAAAUGAUAUCAUUUAUUAUGAUCAUGGAAUGCCCACCCAAAAAAUGUAAACAAAAGAAAAGGUUGUUUUCAGCAACAUUGUGAAAGAGGUAUUUUGUACUGUAAAUGCUGUAUGUGUAAAUAAUAACACUGGAAUUGUGAAAUGUAUACCA